GACAGCAGGUAAGAGGGAGCCAAGCCAAACACACCACGCUGAACUUUGCUCCCUCCAGGGAGAGAGGAAAUUUAAGAAGCAGAUUCAGGAUUUCAGCAUCCAUUUCACUUUCCCUUCCCCCCCUUCUGAACUCUCGCUCCCUGGGCCCCAAACGGCUCCUGGGCGGCUCUGUCAGCCCAACGCUGCCUCGGCUUCCUCUGGAAAACGGGAUGGCAGGGGGGAAGGUCUACAAACUCCUACGGCCAAAGGGAAGGCUCUGCCCUGCCUGAGAAUGCCUCGCAGCAGCCUGCCCUCAUGUCCUCUGCAGACAGAAGAUGAAAACCUCUCAAGCCCCAGCUCCAAGGCAGUUACUGGAGAGACCUGGUGGAAGUCCCCUCAACUUCAAAUCUCACCAACCCCAAACAACUGGGAAACACUUUGCCAGGGUAGGAACUGGGAGAAAACAAUCAUCACCGUGGCCCCCAGAAGGGGUCAAUCCACCCACUUUGGGAGUCAUAUAUCUGGUGAGGGGCAGUUGCUGUGCUGAAGCGUGUUUCCAGCCAGCGCCCCGGCGAGCAGCAAGCCAACAACUUUCAAGAUGAAUUAAGGCCAGUGCUUUGGUGGGGUUACGCUGGUGGAAGGCGGCUUUGUUAAACCCAAAUGAAAGCUCAGAACGUGCUACGUUCACCCCAUUGUUCCUUCGCCUUUUCUAAUAGCUGUUUUCUCUCCUCCAUCACUCUCGGCUUCGCACGCUCAGCUGUGACUCUUUGUGCCUCCCUUUCACUGCCUUCUGCUUCUGUUUGUCCUUUUGAUCUCCACUUCUCAGCUUGUGUUUUCUGCUGCGUCCCCAUCCCCCAACGCCUGAUUUCCACUUUUAUUAGGGUGCGAGGCAGAACGGCUCAAAGGAUGAACAAUGCGUUUUAGCUGAAAAGGCUUUGAAGCUGAAUUGUGUUGUUUACAGAUAGAUUCUCCAAUCUCCCACUGAAAUAAAACGGUAUUCUACCU